rnacentral:misc_RNA from 1 species
GGGAGCCAGCGGUGAACGUUUU